rnacentral:rRNA from 1 species
AUUGAACGCUGGCGGCAGGCUUAACACAUGCAAGUCGAGCGGGGGAGGUUGCUUCGGUAACUGACCUAGCGGCGGACGGGUGAGUAAUGCUUAGGAAUCUGCCUAUUAGUGGGGGACAACAUCUCGAAAGGGAUGCUAAUACCGCAUACGUCCUACGGGAGAAAGCAGGGGACCUUCGGGCCUUGCGCUAAUAGAUGAGCCUAAAUCGGAUUAGCUAGUUGGUGGGGUAAAGGCCUACCAAGGCGACGAUCUGUAGCGGGUCUGAGAGGAUGAUCCGCCACACUGGGACUGAGACACGGCCCAGACUCCUACGGGAGGCAGCAGUGGGGAAUAUUGGACAAUGGGGGGAACCCUGAUCCAGCCAUGCCGCGUGUGUGAAGAAGGCCUUUUGGUUGUAAAGCACUUUAAGUGAGGAGGAGGCUACUGGUAUUAAUACUACCGGAUAGUGGACGUUACUCGCAGAAUAAGCACCGGCUAACUCUGUGCCAGCCGCCGCGGUAAAAC